GUGCUCACUUUGGCAGAACAUAUACUAAAGUUGGAACGAUGCAAAGAAGAUUAGCAUGGCCCCUGCGUGAGGAUGACGCACAAAUUUGUGAAGUGUUCCAUGUUGUU